rnacentral:tRNA from 3 species
GCUGGUGUGGCUCAACGGUAGAGCAGCUGAUUUGUAAUCAGCAGGUUGGGGGUUCGAUUCCCUUCACCAGCUCCA